UACGGAGGGGGCUAGCGUUGUUCGGAAUGACUGGGCGUAAAGCGCACGUAGGCGGGCGUUCAAGUCGGGGGUGAAAUCCCGGGGCUCAACCCCGGAACGGCCUUCGAUACUGGAUGUCUUGAGGUCUGGAGAGGUGGGUGGAAUUCCGAGUGUAGAGGUGAAAUUCGUAGAUAUUCGGAGGAACACCAGUGGCGAAGGCGGCCCACUGGCCAGAUACUGACGCUGAGGUGCGAAAGCGUGGGGAGCAAACAGG
rnacentral:rRNA from 1 species